rnacentral:lncRNA from 12 species
GGAUGUGGUGAAACAGAACUCGUAGUCCCUCCAUGGCAACAGGGCCACUAACUGUGCUAACACAGCAGCCAGGAAGGAAGGUGAGAGGGGGGAUGUUCCAUCCCACAGAGGAUGUGGUUGUUGGUGCUGCAGCAGCUCAGAAAGAUGCUGAAAGAGUCUGUGAAGCACUCCCUUAAUAAUACCAGCUGUUAAAACAAAGAUCAACAAGAGCUCUUGCCCACGAUUUCCCCCUUGGGCAGCUGUGUACUGAUUAUUAAAAAUGAACCAUGGAGUGUUCCUGCUUAUUGCAUGGCAUGGAUAACUACAAUAGAAAGCCAAACAAGCCUGCUGAUCCAUUUAAAAGAACACACAUUAAAAAGGAAAUUCUGCCUCUUACCCAAAAC